rnacentral:rRNA from 1 species
UACGGGGGGGGCAAGCGUUGUUCGGAAUUACUGGGCGUAAAGGGCUCGUAGGCGGCCAACUAAGUCAGACGUGAAAUCCCUCGGCUUAACCGGGGAACUGCGUCUGAUACUGGAUGGCUCGAGUUUGGGAGAGGGAUGCGGAAUUCCAGGUGUAGCGGUGAAAUGCGUAGAUAUCUGGAGGAACACCGGUGGCGAAGGCGGCAUCCUGGACCAAAACUGACGCUGAUGAGCGAAAGCCAGGGGAGCAAACGGG